AUCUACGGCCAUGCUACCCUGAAUAAACUCAAUCCCAUCUGCUCUCGGAAGCUAAGCAGGGUCGGGCCUGGUUAGUACUUGGAUGGGAGACCACCUGGCGUAAAAA
rnacentral:rRNA from 1 species